rnacentral:rRNA from 1 species
GAGUUUGAUCGUGGCUCAGAUUGAACGCUGGCGGCAUGCUUUACACAUGCAAGUCGAACGGCAGCGCGGGGCAACCUGGCGGCGCGUGGCGAACGGGUGAGUAAUAUAUCGGAACGGUACCCAGAAGUGGGGGAUAACGUAGCGAAAGUUACGCUAAUACCGCAUACGAUCUACGGAUGAAAGUGGGGGAUCGCAAGACCUCAUGCUCCUGGAGCGGCCGAUAUCUGAUUAGCUAGUUGGUGAGGUAAAGGCUCACCAAGGCGACGAUCAGUAGCUGGUCUGAGAGGACGACCAGCCACGCUGGAACUGAGACACGGUCCAGACUCCUACGGGAGGCAGCAGUGGGGAAUUUUGGACAAUGGGCGCAAGCCUGAUCCAGCAAUGCCGCGUGAGUGAAGAAGGCCUU